rnacentral:rRNA from 1 species
AAUUAUACAGCGAAACUGCGAAUGGCUCAUUAUAUAAGUUAUCGUUUAUUUGAUAGUACCUUACUACUUGGAUAACCGUGGUAAUUCUAGAGCUAAUACAUGCUAAAAAUCCCGACUUCGGAAGGGAUGUAUUUAUUAGAUUAAAAACCAAUGCCCUCUGGGCUCUCUGGUGAUUCAUGAUAACUUCUCGAAUCGCAUGGCCUUGCGCCGGCGAUGGUUCAUUCAAAUUUCUUCCCUAUCAACUUUCGAUGUUUGGGUAGUGGCCAAACAUGGUUGCAACGGGUAACGGAGGGUUAGGGCUCGACCCCGGAGAAGGAGCCUGAGAAACGGCUACUACAUCCAAGGAAGGCAGCAGGCGCGCAAAUUACCCAAUCCCGACACGGGGAGGUAGUGACAAUAAAUACUGAUACAGGGCUCUUUUGGGUCUUGUAAUUGGAAUGAGUACAAUUUAAAUCCCUUAACGAGGAACAAUUGGAGGGCAAGUCUGGUGCCAGCAGCCGCGGUAAUUCCAGCUCCAAUAGCGUAUAUUAAAGUUGUUGUGGUUAAAAAGCUCGUAGUUGAACCUUGGGCCUGGCUGGCCGGUCCGCCUCACCGCGUGUACUGGUCCGGCCGGGCCUUUCCCUCUGUGGAACCCCAUGCCCUUCACUGGGUGUGGCGGGGAAACAGGACUUUUACUUUGAAAAAAUUAGAGUGCUCCAGGCAGGCCUAUGCUCGAAUACAUUAGCAUGGAAUAAUGAAAUAGGACGUGCGGUUCUAUUUUGUUGGUUUCUAGGACCGCCGUAAUGAUUAAUAGGGACAGUCGGGGGCAUCAGUAUUCAAUUGUCAGAGGUGAAAUUCUUGGAUUUAUUGAAGACUAACUACUGCGAAAGCAUUUGCCAAGGAUGUUUUCAUUAAUCAGGAACGAAAGUUAGGGGAUCGAAGACGAUCAGAUACCGUCGUAGUCUUAACCAUAAACUAUGCCGACUAGGGAUCGGACGAUGUUAUUUUUUGACUCGUUCGGCACCUUACGAGAAAUCAAAGUGC